CCUACGUGUGGCUGCAGUGAGGAAUAUUGGAUAAUGGGCGAGAGCCUGAACCAGCCAAGUCGCGUGAGGGAGUACUUCCCUAUGGGUUGUAAACCUCUUUUGUCGGGGAGCAAAAGCCGGACGUGUCCUACUGUGAGAGUACCCGAAGAAAAAGCAUCGGCUAACUCCGUGACAGCAGCCCCGGUAAUACGGGGGAUGCGAGCGUUAUCCGGAUGUAUUGGGUUUAAAGGGUGCGCAGGCGGAUUUUUAAGUCAGCGGUCAAAUCGUGGGGCUCAACCCCAUCCAGCCGUUGAAACUGGGGAGCUGGAGUGUGCGAGAGGUAUGCGGAAUGCGUGGUGUAGCGGUGAAAUGCAUAGAUAUCACGCAGAACCCCGAUGGCGAAGGCAGCAUACCGGUGCACAACUGACGUUCAGGCACGAAAGCGUGGGUAUCGAACAGGAUUAGAUACCCUGGUAGUC
rnacentral:rRNA from 1 species